rnacentral:rRNA from 1 species
GAUGAACGCUGGCGGCGUGCCUAAUACAUGCAAGUCGAGCGAACGGACGAGAAGUUUGCUUCUCUGAUGUUAGCGGCGGACGGGUGAGUAACACGUGGAUAACCUACCUAUAAGACUGGGAUAACUUCGGGAAACCGGAGCUAAUACCGGAUAAUAUUUUGAACCGCAUGGUUCAAAAGUGAAAGACGGUCUUGCUGUUACUUAUACAUGGAUCCGCGCUGCAUUAGCUAGUUGGUAAGGUAACGGCUUACCAAGGCAGCGAUGCAUAGCCGACCUGAGAGGGUGAUCGGCCACACUGGAACUGAGACACGGUCCAGACUCCUACGGGAGGCAGCAGUAGGGAAUCUUCCGCAAUGGGCGAAAGCCUGACGGAGCAACGCCGCGUGAGUGAUGAAGGUCUUCGGAUCGUAAAACUCUGUUAUUAGGGAAGAACAUAUGUGUAAGUAACUGUGCACAUCUUGACGGUACCUAAUCAGAAAGCCACGGCUAACUACGUG